CUGGUAUGUCUAACUCUGAAGGCGAUCAUUUUGCAGAAGAGCUAUUUUACUGUUGCUGCUACUUUUGUACAUUCCCUUUGGAAGAUAUAACAAGAUAUAACUUUGGAUGCAUGACAAGAACAUGUACCAAACUAUUUCUUCACUGUGGUUUUAUAUCUUGUACUGAAGUCAAAGCACUGAGUACUUCCGUCUCCUCUGUGCUCCAGGUCGAGCUGCGAUGAGGCUGUGUGCAGUCUUCUGUGUCGCCUUGCUGUCUCUCACUCAGGCUCUGAGUGGAUCUCAUCACGAAGCGUCCAUAAGUAUCAGAAUUCCUUCAUGCCGAUGUUUCAUGAGCCCCUCCACCUCCCCAUCACCGCCCAUCUUUACAGAAUCCUCAUCCAUCAAUUCUUCACCCAUCUGGCCUCUGCAAGUCAUCAGCCCUCACCACCACCAGUGUCUGGACUCCAUGGGGGGGGAUUCAUUUAUUCUCCAAACACAACAACCACCCCACAGAGUCAAAGCUCUUUAGACAUUCUGUCAGGACACAUGUUGUUUAUUGUAAUAAAUAUUUGUUCUUUAUUCACCUGUCUCUCCUGAUUGCCAAUUCAUUAUUCUUCCCUCUGUCCUCUGUCCUCUGUGCCGCUCAGAUCCAGACAUCGAUGCCUCCUGGUACACUAGCAGAGGGAUCAGACCAGUGGGGAGAUUUGGACGCAAAGUUGCAGAGAGGAGAAAUCAACAUCUGGCUUUCAUCACGGCCAGAGUUUACAGACCAACAGCUGACGGUGACAGCAAUGUUUGGAUCACACAGCGCAAAUAAUAUGGAUGAUUAAAAAUGACUUCUGCUCUGA